GUACCCUGGUAGUCCACGCUGUAAACGAUGUCGACUUGGAGGUUGUUCCCUUGAGGAGUGGCUUCCGGAGCUAACGCGUUAAGUCGACCGCCUGGGGAGUACGGCCGCAAGGUUAAAACUCAAAUGAAUUGACGGGGGCCCGCACAAGCGGUGGAGCAUGUGGUUUAAUUCGAUGCAACGCGAAGAACCUUACCUACUCUUGACAUCCAGAGAACUUAGCAGAGAUGCUUUGGUGCCUUCGGGAACUCUGAGACAGGUGCUGCAUGGCUGUCGUCAGCUCGUGUUGUGAAAUGUUGGGUUAAGUCCCGCAACGAGCGCAACCCUUAUCCUUUGUUGCCAGCGGUUCGGCCGGGAACUCAAAGGAGACUGCCAGUGAUAAACUGGAGGAAGGUGGGGAUGACGUCAAGUCAUCAUGGCCCUUACGAGUAGGGCUACACACGUGCUACAAUGGCAUAUACAAAGAGAAGCGACCUCGCGAGAGCAAGCGGACCUCAUAAAGUAUGUCGUAGUCCGGAUUGGAGUCUGCAACUCGACUCCAUGAAGUCGGAAUCGCUAGUAAUCGUAGAUCAGAAUGCUACGGUGAAUACGUUCCCGGGCCUUGUACACACCGCCCGUCACACCAUGGGAGUGGGUUGCAAAAGAAGUAGGUAGC
rnacentral:rRNA from 1 species